GUUCGGGUUUCAAUAACAACCCGAACCGACCCGAACCCGAACUUUUUCGGGUCGGGUCGGGUCGGGUAUUUUGCCCACCCCUAAGGUCUAGAACCAUAUUGUGAGAGUUGGGUUUGUGUUGGGUCUUGUGGCGCGUGUUUUGUCUGACAAGUUUCCAUAUGUCGUCUAAGAUGUCCAGUUCCACUAUUGCUUUUGGCACUUAAAGCAGAUUGACAAUAUUUGCACACUGCUUGAUCCACCAUUUCACCUUUUUUGUUUUGACGUUUUUCCAAAGUAAAACAUGACCAAACAAUCGAUGUUCUUUGUCGUUUGGAGGUAGUAGUAGGACCAGCAGUUGAAGAAGUAGAACCACUUUGACUUGCUUGAGAAGUAGGAGGCGAUCGUUCAGGUGGGACAAUAAAUAUAUUACUUGGAUCAAAUUCUGGUGCAGCAAUUUCUUCAUUUGCAACUUCCUCCCCCUCUUCAACAAAAUUAAAAUUCUCAUCUAACUC
rnacentral:lncRNA from 1 species